AGGCUGGACUUGAGGAAGACGGAGGGAACCCCGCGCGUCCGGAGCCGCCGCCAGCCGGCCCGCUCCCCGGGCACUUUCCCCCUCCGCCAAAACUUUGGGCAGCGCCGCCCGAGAGGGGCACGGGAGCCGGGGCGCAGGCAGGAGCAGCCCGAGGAAAACAACAACAGAGCCCUCAUGCCGGCGGGCGGCUCGUGGCCGCCCGGGGAGCCCCAAACUUCAUCUCGGCGAAAGUCACUACCAUAUGACAAAGGCUUUGCCGCAGUUCAUCUUCCUCUCUGUGUACUUUCCAUUUGCCUUCUUGG
rnacentral:lncRNA from 1 species